CGGGGCCUUUGCAGCCUCCAUACUUAGCGAUGGCCUCCUGGACCCACUUUCUCUCUCAAACUGUCUUUUCUCAUUCCUUUGACUCUGCUGGACUUCGUCAUCCCCACGACCCGGUGUUGAGUCUGAUCACCCAACAUCAUCAGGAUAGAAGCUUCCCUCUCCUCCUCCAGACCUUGUGGUGUGCACGUGGGAGUCCAGGGACUAGAAUACUCAUUUUCAAAGCCUGACAUUGGACCCGGGAGACAGGGAAAAACCAUCCUCAGGAAGUCACAAGAGAAAGAGAGAGCACAGAGGUAUACAGCAUGUGAAACUUUGGACUGCUCAAAGAAGACAUUUUCAAACAUAUCUUUUCAGGACUGUCAAUAGGAACCGUAAGUGAGUUUCAGGUUCGCUCAUCUAAUUGUAGCAGUUAACUGACUGACAAGGUGAAGAAGGAUUGUGGUUUUCUGUUUCAGAUGGAAAAACUAAAAACAUAAGAGAAUCUCACAAUUAUCCACAUAUGCCCCAAAAGUUCAUACUACAGAAGAAUCUAUAUAUACUUAAACAGACUAUUGAGAAAAGUCAAGUUGUUUUUCUAUAUGAACCCAAUAAUGCAUUUUCAAGACACUGGAUAAAUUUAAAGUAAGGGUCUUACACAUUUACUACUGAAGGGCCAGUUAAUACAAAAAGAUCUAAUGCCGUUAUUGCAGACUUAUUCAACCAAAUUUCCAGCUAAUGCUUUUUAAAGAAUAAUUUCACAAGAAGUUUUAUUUUGGGCACAUGCCUUUGGUCUAUACUCCUUUUUGUCAAGUCAGCCAUAGCCUAUGAUCAAUGUGAGUUCUCCAGCCCACUUAAACAUGCACCCAUUCGAACACAUUGAGACCCACCUUCAGAUAGGAUGCCUAUAUUCUUUGGAUAGGCACUUAUUAGGUAAUGAAACAAUGAUAAGUAAUAACUGUCCUUUUAUAAUUGCUUACCUAAAAGAAAAAAGCUCAAUCACCUAGCCAGGUAAAACUCUUGUCAAGUAUUCACACAAUGUACUGUAACAUGAACCAAAUGCCUAAAUGAUACAUUUCUGCCCUCCAGAUACUUAAAACCUAAGUGGUACACACACACACACACACACACACACACACACACACAGACACACACACACACACACAUCUAUAGUCACCCUAUAUGGUUAAAAUGGAAAGAAGUACUAUAAAAAGAAAGAAAUAGUGUAAGAACCAACUUCCUAGUUGGAAAGUAGGUAUGCGAGAGACCAGUAUUUUAAUUUUUUUUCUCAAUCUUAGAAAAACGGGCAUUUUCCAGGAAACGGAAAGACUAGAAAUAAAAGUAGAAGAAAAAGGCUUAAACAAUAUUCUCCUUUAACUUUCUGGCGCAGAGUGAGGCAGUGAGGAAAUAAAAAUAGAGUCCGCGCUUUCAAGUGUUUCCUGAUCUGCUGGGGAAAAUGGUCAUAUUAACACAUGGAGUCAUGGCACAGUGUGUGCUAAGGAUCAUGGUAAAGGUGUACACAGUGAUUUGCUAACAAGAGGGAUAGAAGGUGUGGCUCAGGGAAUGACACAGCUGUCUGAAAGAGUCAAAAUGUACCACAGAGAACGUGACAGAGAUCUGGAUCUCAAAGAAAUGAGAGGUUGCCUAGGGAGCAACAACAAGGAGGGCAUUCCUGGCAGAGGAAAUGGCAUGUGCAAAGAGACAUCAAGAGGAUGAAGCAUUAGAAAUAUAACUAAAUUAUGGUUAUAGCUUGGGUGCCUAUUAAUAGAUCUGCUCAAUAUUAGGCAAAAACAAUAACAAUUGAGAAUUUGUAUAUCAUCUUUGGUGUCUUCUUUGAUAACUUAUUUUGUGUAUGUGUGUUUUUCUUUCCUGCUACUACUCUGGAGACUUGUUCCACUGGUGACCUUUAUGCAUUCUAAACAAUCGUAAUUUCACAGAGUAAGUUGUUCUCUUCUCCCUAUGUGUUUUGUCACUAGCCAUUGUUUUAAAGUAGCUUGCUUGGUUUUUUGUAUUGCAUCUUGUGAAAGCCUAGAUGCCUAGGGGCUUUCAUACAAAUGUAGAAGUCAAAAUACAUUUCUUCUUGGAAGGUAAUAAAGUGUGAAUGUUUUCAACAAAUAAAG
rnacentral:lncRNA from 1 species